AUCACACCACGUUGAAACAUCGGUUCCCAUACGAACACAGGAGUUAAGCAACGUUGACUCUGGCCAGUUCCGACAUGGUGACCAUUUGGGAAUACCAGGUGCUGUU